GUUAGAUUGGCCGAGUGGUUAAGGCGGUAGAUUUAAGAAGGCCUCGAGCCAUCUAAAUACUCUACUGACGAAAGUCUCGCGUGUUCGAACCGCGCAUCUAACA